GAUGAACGCUGGCGGCGUGCCUAAUACAUGCAAGUCGAGCGAACAGACGAGGAGCUUGCUCCUCUGACGUUAGCGGCGGACGGGUGAGUAACACGUGGAUAACCUACCUAUAAGACUGGGAUAACUUCGGGAAACCGGAGCUAAUACCGGAUAAUAUAUUGAACCGCAUGGUUCAAUAGUGAAAGACGGUUUUGCUGUCACUUAUAGAUGGAUCCGCGCCGCAUUAGCUAGUUGGUAAGGUAACGGCUUACCAAGGCAACGAUGCGUAGCCGACCUGAGAGGGGGACGGCCCACACGGAAAUGAACACAGGACCAGGACCCAGCGGGAGGGAGGAAGAGGGAAAUUUCCCGAAAGGGGGGAAGGCCGGAGGGAGCAACCCGGGGGGAGGAAGAAAGGUUUCGGAAUCUAAAAACUGUUUUAUGGGGAAAAAAAAAAUGGGUAAGAAAAAAUCCCCGUCUGGAGGGGCCAUAAUAGAAAGGCCACGACAAAUUACUUC
rnacentral:rRNA from 1 species